rnacentral:rRNA from 1 species
UAGCGAAGGGGGCUAGCGUUGUUCGGAAUUACUGGGCGUAAAGCGCACGUAGGCGGACUAUUAAGUCAGGGGUGAAAUCCCGGAGCUCAACUCCGAACUGCCUUUGAUACUGGUAGCCUAGAGAUCGGAAGAGGUGAGUGGAAUUCCCAGUGUAGAGGUGAAAAUUCGUAGAUAUUGGGAAGAACACCAGUGGCGAAGGCGGCUCACUGGUCCGAUACUGACGCUGAGGUGCG